rnacentral:rRNA from 1 species
AUUGAACGCUGGCGGCAGGCCUAACACAUGCAAGUCGAGCGAAUGAAGGGAGCUUGCUCCUGGAAUCAGCGGCGGACGGGUGAGUAAUGCCUAGGAAUCUGCCUGGUAGUGGGGGAUAACGUCCGGAAACGGGCGCUAAUACCGCAUACGUCCUGAGGGAGAAAGUGGGGGAUCUUCGGACCUCACGCUAUCAGAUGAGCCUAGGUCGGAUUAGCUAGUUGGUGGGGUAAAGGCCUACCAAGGCGACGAUCCGUAAAUGGUCUGAGAGGAUGAUCAGUCACACUGGAACUGAGACACGGUCCAGACUCCUACGGGAGGCAGCAGUGGGGAAUAUUGGACAAUGGGCGAAAGCCUGAUCCAGCCAUGCCGCGUGUGUGAAGAAGGUCUUCGGAUUGUAGAGCACUUUAAGUUGGGAGGAAGGGCAGUAAGUUAAUACCUUGCUGUUUUGACGUUACCAACAGAAUAAGCACCGGCUAACUUCGUG